rnacentral:tRNA from 1 species
GGUUGUGGCUCAGUGGUAGACCUCUAGCCUAGCACAUGCGAGGCCCUGGGUUCGAUCCUCAGCACCA